rnacentral:rRNA from 1 species
UACGUAGGUGGCAAGCGUUAUCCGGAUUUAUUGGGCGUAAAGAGAGUGCAGGCGGUUUUCUAAGUCUGAUGUGAAAGCCUUCGGCUUAACCGGAGAAGUGCAUCGGAAACUGGAUAACUUGAGUGCAGAAGAGGGUAGUGGAACUCCAUGUGUAGCGGUGGAAUGCGUAGAUAUAUGGAAGAACACCAGUGGCGAAGGCGGCUACCUGGUCUGCAACUGACGCUGAGACUCGAAAGCAUGGGUAGCGA